AGAUUCAAGCUAAGUGACGUCAAGCCGGCUUCCACCCCAAUGCCCACCAAGUGCCAACUUGACCUAGAUCCCAAUGGUAAAGUGGUGGAUCAAAAGGUAUAUCGUUCCAUGAUUGGAUCCUUGCUUUACCUUUGUGCAUCUAGACCAGACAUCAUGUUGAGUGUGGGAAUUUGUGCACGGUUUCAAGCCGCACCUAAGGAAAGUCACCAUGUGGCGGUCAAACGAAUCUUUCGAUAUUUGGCUCAUACCCCAAACUUUGGCUUAUGGUACCCAAGAGGAUCAAACUUCAAGCUUGUAGGGUAUUCGGAUUCCGAUUGGGCGGGAGACAAAGUGGAUAGGAAGUCCACUUCCGGAGGGUGCCAAUUCCUUGGUUGCUCUUUGGUAAGUUGGUGUUCCAAAAAGCAAAGUUGUGUGUCUCUCUCGUCCACCGAAGCGGAGUAUGUUGCGGCCGGUAGUUGUUGUGCACAACUCUUAUGGAUGAGGCAAACUUUAAAGGAUUACGGUGUCACUUGUGACAAAGUGCCUCUUUGGUGUGACAAUGAAAGUGCCAUCAAGAUUUCUCUCAACCCGGUGCAACACUUCAAGACGAAGCAUAUUGAGAUUCGGUAUCACUUCAUC
rnacentral:rRNA from 1 species